rnacentral:rRNA from 1 species
AUUGGACGCUGGCGGCAGGCCUAACACAUGCAAGUCGAGCGGAUGAAGGGAGCUUGCUCCUGGAUUCAGCGGCGGACGGGUGAGUAAUGCCUAGGAAUCUGCCUGGUAGUGGGGGAUAACGUCCGGAAACGGGCGCUAAUACCGCAUACGUCCUGAGGGAGAAAGUGGGGGAUCUUCGGACCUCACGCUAUCAGAUGAGCCUAGGUCGGAUUAGCUAGUUGGUGGGGUAAAGGCCUACCAAGGCGACGAUCCGUAACUGGUCUGAGAGGAUGAUCAGUCACACUGGAACUGAGACACGGUCCAGACUCCUACGGGAGGCAGCAGUGGGGAAUAUUGGACAAAGGGCGAAAGCCUGAUCCAGCCAUGCCGCGUGUGUGAAGAAGGUCUUCGGAUUGUAAAGCACUUUAAGUUGGGAGGAAGGGCAGUAAGUUAAUACCUUGCUGUUUUGACGUUACCAACAGAAUAAGCACCGGCUAACUUCGUG